CCUACGGGCGGCAGCAGUGAGGAAUAUUGGUCAAUGGGCGCGAGCCUGAACCAGCCAAGUCGCGUGAGGGAAGACGGUCCUAUGGAUUGUAAACCUCUUUUGUCGGGGAGCAAAAGACGCCACGCGUGGCGUUCCGAGAGUACCCGAAGAAAAAGCAUCGGCUAACUCCGUGCCAGCAGCCACGGUAAUACGGAGGAUGCGAGCGUUAUCCGGAUUUAUGGGGUUUAAAGGGUGCGCAGGCGGAAGAUCAAGUCAGCGGUAAAAUUGAGGGGCUCAACCUCUUCGAGCCGUUGAAACUGGUUUUCUUGAGUGAGCGAGAAGUAUGCGGAAUGCGUGGUGUAGCGGUGAAAUGCAUAGAUAUCACGCAGAACUCCGAUUGCGAAGGCAGCAUACCGGCGCUCAACUGACGCUCAUGCACGAAAGUGUGGGUAUCGAACAGGAUUAGAUACCCCAGUAGUC
rnacentral:rRNA from 1 species